GAUGAACGCUGGCGGCGUGCCUAAUACAUGCAAGUCGAGCGAACAGAGGAGGAGUUUGCUCCUCUGACGUUAGCGGCGGACGGGUGAGUAACACGUGGAUAACCUACCUAUAAGACUGGGAUAACGUCGGGAAACCGGAGCUAAUACCGGAUAAUAUAUUGAACCGCAUGGUUCAAUAGUGAAAGACGGUUUUGCUGUCACUUAUAGAUGGAUCCGCGCCGCAUUAGCUAGUUGGUAAGGUAACGGCUUACCAAGGCAACGAUGCGUAGCCGACCUGAGAGGGUGAUCGGCCACACUGGAACUGAGACACGGUCCAGACUCCUACGGGAGGCAGCAGUAGGGAAUCUUCCGCAAUGGGCGAAAGCCUGACGGAGCAACGCCGCGUGAGUGAUGAAGGUCUUCGGAUCGUAAAACUCUGUUAUUAGGGAAGAACAAAUGUGUAAGUAAAUAUGCACGUCUUGACGGUACCUAAUCAGAAAGCCACGGCUAACUACGUG
rnacentral:rRNA from 1 species